GUCUGAGCUCGGCCCAACUACCUCUGCUUCAAGAGUGUUAUCUUUCCUUUCACAGCUCUAUCCACCUCAGUUGAAGCUUGUACGCUUCUUCGUACAUUGUUAAUCAGCACAUUUAUAACAGCUACAAACUACCAAAUUCUGUGCAGAAGAAGAAAGAAUCAAAUAAUUUUCUCUACUCUUUUACUUCAAUUUUAGGGUUUUUGGGUAUUCCAAUGGCGACUCACAGUUUUUCAUUACUUUCAAUCCAGUCUUUAACUUCCAAUUCUACCAACAGACUAAGUGAUAAUACUAAUACUUUUUUAACCCACAAGUAUUGUAAAGCUUUAGCUACUACUUUUACCGGCGGAAAGCUCUUGAUUCGGCCGCAGAAUUUGAACGAUUAUACCCUCAAACGUCGUCGUUCUACAGUAGCAACGGUUGCCUUCAGCCUCCCUACUACGAAAUCAGAGAGAGCUGCUUCUGAGAAACAGCCCAAAUGGUCGGCAAGAGCAAUACAGGCAUUUGUAAUGGCUGAAUUAGAAGCAAGGAAGCUCAAGUACCCAAAUACUGGCACUGAAGCUCUUUUAAUGGGAAUCUUGGUUGAAGGGACCAGUUUGGCUGCCAAGUUUUUGAGAGCAAAUGGUGUAACCUUUCUCAAGGUGAGUGACGAAACAGUGAAGUUGCUUGGAAGAUCCGACUUGUAUUUUUUCAGUCCAGAGCAUCCUCCCCUCACUAAACCAGCUCAAAAGGCUCUUGACUGGGCAGUCAAUGAGAAACUGAAAUCAGGUGAAGAUGGGGAAGUUACUGUCGCACAUAUGGCUCUUGGUAUUUGGUCAGUAAAGGAAUCAGCUGGGCAUAGAAUAAUGGCUACACUUGGUUUUGAUGACGAGAAGGCUAAAGAGCUGGCCAAAUUUAUGGACAAGGACAUUGAGCUUUCGUAUAAAUAACUAUUAUUGGAGGCACAAUCAUUUGAUGCAUCCUUCCAUCACAAUCUUCAGCUAGUUUCUCCUGCAGAAGAGCUUAGUAACAAAUGUUCAUGGCCUUGUACACAGAAUGCUCGGUGAUUCGAGUGCCUGGGGAACUAAACUACAACUUGAUAUUUUCAGUUUACUGAUUGAAAUUUGAUCCAGUAAUACAAGUGCCUAAUAUUUUAGUUUGAACACUUUAUUUCAUCUUGGAAUAGUAAAUUCUGAACAGAAGUCACAGGCUUACAUUUUCUCGUAUUCUCACCCACUAUAGCUUUAUGAAUGGUUGUAGACAAUGAUAACAAUUCCUCGACAGUCAGCAUCGGCAGGCAAUUCGACAUCAUGGAAUGAUAGUGGGUUGGUUUUGAUGUUUUGUCCUCUUAAGAAAAGUCUAAUAGACAUGGCCUUUCAUAAGGGUUGAUCUUGA